GUUUAUUUCAUCCCACCACAAGGCAAAUGUCUACGCUGAGGUAGUCUGUCCUGAUUCUUUCUCUUUGUAAGUAGAGAGAAAUAAACACUUCUGUGGUCUGAAUCAUGCCAAACUAAUGCAGAUGUCAAAAAAUAAGUUGGCUGAAUUGUGCCCCAAAAAUGUUUAGUUCUCUACUUAAACUCUAAAGGGAGCCCUAAAGGAAGAAGCUCAGAAAUGGGUAUCUCCACUGUAGUCUUCUAAAAUCAAUAGAUACAAAUUCCACCCCAGGAGACGGCUGUCCUCUGUUCCAUGGAACUUGAACUGCUGUAUCCAAAGAUUUGAAGAAUAACUGAAAACAGCAUAUAACAAUGGGAAAAACUAUACCACAGAUAGAAACGUGAAGUCUACAGAAAGGAAAAUAGCAAGGAAAAAAGGAGUACAAGACUUGAUUAUACUACUGGAUAUUUUUAUUUAGUAGAAAGGGCAAUUGGAUCCUUCUCCUUCCAGGUUUUGCCCCAGUUUUGAGAAUGAUGUUGAAGCUACAUCUGCAGAAGAGGCUACAGGAUAGCUGCAUUCUGCCUCUUUGUGUUCUCUCAUCACACAGGAAGAGAUGGAGUUAUCAUGGCUUCAUGGAUUGAACCAGAGAAGGACUAUCUGCUGAGAAGCAUCACUUCUGAAUAGUUAUUUUGCAGUUCUAUCAUUGCUAGAGGAAAGUAAUUGCACACUUGACAGAACAGACUUUCUUGAGUAAGCAGCAGUUUACUUGAUUUUUCUUUUCCUUCCUUCAGAAAUGUAAAAGGAAAUUUAUCCAAGGAAAUGCCUAUUUUCUGUAUUCAUCAGUGCCAUUUUUUUUUCUCCAGUGAAUAGUAGUCUUCCUGUAAAAGGAAUUGUUGCAUUAUAGUGUCUCCCUUUAUCUACCUCUAGUCCAAUUUACUUUUUCAGAAAGUUGUUAUCAUCAGUGCCUAUUGUCUAUGCACCACUCUAGUCUUACUGAUGAGGCAGUACAGGCACUGUCUUAUUUUGGAGAACAUACAAAUAUUAUCAUUGGUUUACAUGCCUCGGGCUCUUUCUGGGCAUUUUUCCAGGUUCUAUAUAAGUGCUUUUAGGAGAAAUGUACCAUUUUGUUAUCCAUGUGUUACUACUACAGAAUUUAUCUUUAACUGUUAAAUGCUUAAACUAUCCCUGAGCAUAAAUGUGACUUUUAAAGAUGGACUUUACUCCUGGCAUUCUCCAGGUAUUAAGUUUGUCCACCCAAGAAUAGUGCUUUGUAUUUUUCCCUGCCACACACAAUUGUUAUAUAUCAUUGCUCAUUUUGUUUUAUAGCUCCUCAUAGUUUGCCAAGUGAUUGAGAGAAAAAUUAGAACGCUAUGGUCUGAACCUGGCUUCAAGUGUGAACCAGUUGCAAAAUGUGAAAUAAAAUAAGUGUUGCUGGCUUU
rnacentral:lncRNA from 7 species